GAUGAACGCUGGCGGCGUGCCUAAUACAUGCAAGUCGAGCGAAUGGAUUAAGAGCUUGCUCUUAUGAAGUUAGCGGCGGACGGGUGAGUAACACGUGGGUAACCUGCCCAUAAGACUGGGAUAACUCCGGGAAACCGGGGCUAAUACCGGAUAACAUUUUGAACCGCAUGGUUCGAAAUUGAAAGGCGGCUUCGGCUGUCACUUAUGGAUGGACCCGCGUCGCAUUAGCUAGUUGGUGAGGUAACGGCUCACCAAGGCAACGAUGCGUAGCCGACCUGAGAGGGUGAUCGGCCACACUGGGAUUGAGACACGGCCCAGACUCCUACGGGAGGCAGCAGUAGGGAAUCUUCCGCAAUGGACGAAAGUCUGACGGAGCAACGCCGCGUGAGUGAUGAAGGCUUUCGGGUCGUAAAACUCUGUUGUUAGGGAAGAACAAGUGCUAGUUGAAUAAGCUGACACCUUGACGGUACCUAACCAGAAAGCCACGGCUAACUACGUGCCAGCAGCCGCCGCUG
rnacentral:rRNA from 1 species